GACGAACGCUGGCGGCGUGCUUAACACAUGCAAGUCGAACGGAAAGGCCCUGCUUUUGUGGGGUGCUCGAGUGGCGAAGGGGGGAGUAACACGUGAGUAACCUGCCCUUGUCUUUGGGAUAACUUCAGGAAACUGGGGCUAAUACAGGAUAGGAUCUCCUGCUGCAUGGUGGGGGUUGGAAAGUUUCGGCGGUUGGGGAUGGACUCGCGGCUUAUCAGCUUGUUGGUGGGGUAGUGGCUUACCAAGGCUUUGACGGGUAGCCGGCCUGGGAGGGUGACCGGGCACAUGGGUACUGCGGUACGGCCCAGACUGCUACGGGCGGCAGCAGUGGGGAAUAUUGCACAAUGGGCGGAAGCGUGAUGCAGCAACGCCGCGUGCGGGAUGACGGCCUGCUGGUUGUGAACCGCUUUCGCCUGUGACGAGGCGGGAGUGACGGUAAUGGGUAAAGAAGCACCGGCUAACUACGUG
rnacentral:rRNA from 1 species